rnacentral:misc_RNA from 1 species
CUUGAUUAGGCAUCAAUGUAGCAGAUAGUAAGCCUAAAUCUACCUGCAAAUUUCUCACAUGCUUUCAUAGAAUGAACUUGAGCAUGUUACACUUGAUAUCUGCAACUGAAGUUUCCAGCAUGCAUCCCUUCAAAUAAAAAUUGACUCGUUGACAUCCAUAAUUGACAUAAUAUAAUAUCAAUAUGCUAAGAAGCUAAGACCAGUUUUCUCCAACAAAGACAUACUGAACAAGCUUCACAGAUGGCAAGGCAUUUAUUUCUUGUCAAGUAUAGCAUCACAAUGAUUCUACAGUGUGCAUCUCUGAAUACACCAAAUGAUAGCCCAUCACACUGGAUGCACUAUAUACACAUAAGCAAACCACAAGCAAAAUCCACAAAAACACAUGGUCAGUGUACUACUAUAAAGCUACCAUAUUCGUUUCCCCUAUAUUGUGAAACAAGACUUGAGGUUAUCAAGUACUUCCAAACUAUUAUCUACCAUUAGCAUGGCUCUCCGAUUCUCCUUCUUUGCUAUUUUCUCUCUUCUCUUUGUCUACGUUGUCAUAGCGGAGACUUCGACCUCAUCGGAUGGCGACGAUCAGCUUAUCAGGCAGGUGGUCGACGGCCAGGAUGAAUCGUCGAUGAGCCCUCAUCUUCUGAGCGAGGAGCAUCAUUUCUCGCUCUUCAAGAGGAAGUUCAAGAAAUCCUAUGCCUCUAAGGAGGAGCAUGAUUACAGAUUCGCGGUGUUUAAGGCUAACUUGAGACGCGCGGCGCGUCACCAGAAGUUGGACCCAACGGCCAGCCACGGAGUCACUCAGUUCUCCGAUUUGACUCCGGCUGAGUUUAGGAGGCAGUUUUUGGGGUUGAGGCGGCUUAGGUUGCCUAAGGACGCUAAUCAAGCCCCAAUUUUGCCUACCAAUGACUUGCCUCAGGAUUUUGAUUGGAGAGAGAAAGGAGCUGUUUCUCCUGUCAAAAAUCAGGGUUCGUGUGGAUCGUGCUGGAGUUUCAGCACCACCGGGGCCUUGGAAGGCGCUCAUUUCCUCGCCACGGGAGACCUUGUUAGUCUUAGCGAGCAACAGCUUGUGGAUUGCGACCAUGAGGUUGGCUUUUUACGCCUUUCAUCUUCUCUUUGUUGAUGUUUCCUGAUUCAACUAAUUACUGUCCUUUAUAUUUAUAAGUUGUGAUUGAUUGUUGCGUGAUUAGCCUGCAAGUGCAAAUCAUAUUUAGCUAUUGAUGGAUUGCUCUUGUGGGUUGUUGACGUUGAUUCGUUGUUAUACAUGUUGUGGGUUAAUGUUGAUUCACUGUUAAAAGAAAUUUUUUCAUGGGAAGAGAAUACCGUCUGAUCCCAAAUUAUUAGACCUAUUAUCCCAAAUUAUUAGACCUAUUACCUUUCUUUUAAGCUCGGUGGACCGCAAUCUGAUAGGGUUGUAAAUUCAAUGUUAAUUUAUUGAAAUGUGUUGGCUCGAAUGCUUGGGGAAUUUUACCUUUACCCAUGAGUCGUCUACAUUUUUUUAUUUUUCAAAGAUUGAUUGAGUAGAUUAUUGUUAUGUGUAUCUGGAUAGUCUUUGAAUGUUCUCCUGAUUCAUCUACAUAAAUACUGGCUGGGGAAGUGGGGAAUCUUCUUGUGAAAUCAUAUGCUAACAUGAUUUCAAUUAUGCAUUUCAAUAUAAUGGUUAAAUUGGGUACUCAAAAGUAAUUGUUCCCUCAGAUUGCUUUGUCUAAAUUAAGCCUGUGCAUAUCUGCAGUGUGAUCCAGAAGAGGCAGGUGCAUGCGACUCUGGUUGCAAUGGUGGGCUGAUGAAUAGUGCCUUAGAGUACACUCUCAAAGCUGGUGGUCUUAUGCGUGAAGAAGACUAUCCUUACACUGGUACUGAUCGUGGUGCUUGCAAAUUUGACAAGACCAAGGUUGCAGCAUCGGUGGCCAACUUCAGCGUUGUGUCCCUUGAUGAAGAUCAAAUUGCUGCAAAUCUCGUGAAAAAUGGUCCUCUUGCAGUGGCUAUCAAUGCUGUGUUCAUGCAGACAUACAUUGGGGGAGUCUCAUGUCCUUAUAUCUGCUCAAAGAGGCUGGAUCACGGAGUGUUGUUGGUAGGGUACGGUUCAGCAGGCUAUGCUCCUAUCCGGAUGAAGGAGAAGCCAUAUUGGAUUAUCAAAAACUCAUGGGGUGAAAACUGGGGAGAGAGUGGAUACUACAAAAUCUGCAGGGGUCGCAAUAUUUGUGGGGUAGACUCCAUGGUGUCAACUGUUGCUGCUGUUCAAACCCCAUCACAGUAAGUUGUUAAAGCCCAGUGAUCUUAACAUUGGAUCUUUGUAUAUAGGCACUUUAUGAUAUAUGUCAGCAUUGAUGAUUCGAACUGUUUACCUGUCAUAUUCACCCAAAGCAUCGGAUAGAAAUUUCUUGGAAAAUUCCUAUACUUGGGAAUAUUUGGAUUGCCCGACUGUAAUUUCCUGGAAAAUUCCUAUGCUUUGGGAUGUCAGAACAGCUGAAUUGUGUAAUUUGUAUUUCAGUUUAAGACAUUGGAUCCUCAGUACGUGGGGAUAUUUUAUUUAUAUAUAAAUGACGUGAUAUUGGCAUCAAA